UAUGCGUUAUUAUUAGAGUUUUCGUGUCAAAAUUUUCAGUGUGAAAUAAUAUAUAAAAAAAAAAAAAAAUUAAAAAAAAGGAUUUAAAUUUUUUAAUUAAUUCAAAAGUGAUCUGAAUAAAGAAAGGAAAAAAAAAUUUCAUUGCAAUUUUAGAAUGAAUUGUAAUUUUUACCAAACUAUUGAUAAGACUGCAAAGUCUGAAAAUCAGAUGAAAGGUGGUAAAAAAAGUUAUUUAUUUCUAUACAAAUGUUGACAGUGAAUGUGCACGCUUCUCCUUUAUCGGGAUUUUAUAUUUUAUUAUCAUUAGUAAGUUGGCUCUGCAUUUGCCGUUGGGGAUUUCGAUAUGAUAUGCGAGAUCAAGAAGUAGUUUAUCAUCUUGUUGUCUAUUUCAUUGUGGUCACUCUGUUAAAUAUGAUUUUUCUAGGACAUAUCCAAUUUUUUAGUGAAGAAACAAUUGUAAAGGAAUGACGUUUAUUUGUUAAAAAAAAAGAAGAAAAAAAAAUUGUUAAAUAAUAUUGUUAAAAAAAAAUUUCAAAUAUAAAUCAUAAAAUAGAAUCUUUAAAAUAAG